rnacentral:rRNA from 1 species
UGGGGAAUUUUGGACAAUGGGCGCAAGCCUGAUCCAGCCAUGCCGCGUGUCUGAAGAAGGCCUUCGGGUUGUAAAGGACUUUUGUCAGGGAAGAAAAGGAUAGGGUUAAUACCCCUGUCUGAUGACGGUACCUGAAGAAUAAGCACCGGCUAACUACGUGCCAGCAGCCGCGGUAAUACGUAGGGUGCGAGCGUUAAUCGGAAUUACUGGGCGUAAAGCGGGCGCAGACGGUUACUUAAGCAGAAUGUGAAAUCCCCGGGCUCAACCUGGGAACUGCGUUCUGAACUGGGUGACUAGAGUGUGUCAGAGGGAGGUAGAAUUCCACGUGUAGCAGUGAAAUGCGUAGAGAUGUGGAGGAAUACCGAUGGCGAAGGCAGCCUCCUGGGAUAACACUGACGUUCAUGCCCGAAAGCGUGGGUAGCAAACAGGAUUAGAUACCCUGGUAGUCCACGCCCUAAACGAUGUCGAUUAGCUGUUGGGCAGCUUGACUGCUUAGUAGCGAAGCUAACGCGUGAAAUCGACCGCCUGGGGAGUACGGUCGCAAGAUUA